GGGGAAUUUUGCGCAAUGGGGGAAACCCUGACGCAGCAACGCCGCGUGGGUGAUGAAGGCCUUCGGGUCGUAAAGCCCUGUCGGGAGGGAAGAAAUGAUUGAGGGCUAAUACCUCUUGAUCUUGACGGUACCUCCGAAGGAAGCACCGGCUAACUCCGUGCCAGCAGCCGCGGUAAUACGGAGGGUGCAAGCGUUGUUCGGAAUUAUUGGGCGUAAAGCGCGUGUAGGCGGUCUUUUAAGUCUGAUGUGAAAGCCCCGGGCUCAACCUGGGAAGUGCAUUGGAAACUGGGAGACUUGAGUACGGGAGAGGAGAGUGGAAUUCCUAGUGUAGGAGUGAAAUCCGUAGAUAUUAGGAGGAACACCGGUGGCGAAGGCGGCUCUCUGGACCGAUACUGACGCUGAGACGCGAAAGCGUGGGUAGCAAAC
rnacentral:rRNA from 1 species